rnacentral:rRNA from 1 species
AUUGAACGCUGGCGGCAGGCUUAACACAUGCAAGUCGAGCGGGGGAAGGUAGCUUGCUACCGGACCUAGCGGCGGACGGGUGAGUAAUGCUUAGGAAUCUGCCUAUUAGUGGGGGACAACAUCUCGAAAGGGAUGCUAAUACCGCAUACGUCCUACGGGAGAAAGCAGGGGAUCUUCGGACCUUGCGCUAAUAGAUGAGCCUAAGUCGGAUUAGCUAGUUGGUGGGGUAAAGGCCUACCAAGGCGACGAUCUGUAGCGGGUCUGAGAGGAUGAUCCGCCACACUGGGACUGAGACACGGCCCAGACUCCUACGGGAGGCAGCAGUGGGGAAUAUUGGACAAUGGGGGGAACCCUGAUCCAGCCAUGCCGCGUGUGUGAAGAAGGCCUUAUGGUUGUAAAGCACUUUAAGCGAGGAGGAGGCUACUUUAGUUAAUACCUAGAGAUAGUGGACGUUACUCGCAGAAUAAGCUCCGGCUAACUCUGUGCCAGCAGCCGCCGCCG